AAAAAGAACCUGAAACCGUGUACGUACAAGCAGUGGGAGCACAGGUUUACCUGUGUGACUGCGUACCUUUUGUAUAAUGGGUCAGCGACUUAUAUUCUGUAGCAAGGUUAACCGUAUAGGGGAGCCGUAGGGAAACCGAGUCUUAAUUGGGCGUUAAGUUGCAGGGUAUAGACCCGAAACCCGGUGAUCUAGCCAUGGGCAGGUUGAAGGUUGGGUAACACUAACUGGAGGACCGAACCGACUAAUGUUGAAAAAUUAGCGGAUGACCUGUGGCUGGGGGUGAAAGGCCAAUCAAACCGGGAGAUAGCUGGUUCUCCCCGAAAGCUAUUUAGGUAGCGCCUCGUGAAUUCAUCUCCGGGGGUAGAGCACUGUUUCGGCUAGGGGGCCAUCCCGGCUUACCAACCCGAUGCAAACUGCGAAUACCGGAGAAUGUUAUCACGGGAGACACACGGCGGGUGCUAACGUCCGUCGUGAAGAGGGAAACAACCCAGACCGCCAGCUAAGGUCCCAAAGUCAUGGUUAAGUGGGAAACGAUGUGGGAAGGCCCAGACAGCCAGGAUGUUGGCUUAGAAGCAGCCAUCAUUUAAAGAAAGCGUAAUAGCUCACUGGUCGAGUCGGCCUGCGCGGAAGAUGUAACGGGGCUAAACCAUGCACCGAAGCUGCGGCAGCGACGCUUAUGCGUUGUUGGGUAGGGGAGCGUUCUGUAAGCCUGUGAAGGUGGCCUGUGAGGGUUGCUGGAGGUAUCAGAAGUGCGAAUGCUGACAUAAGUAACGAUAAAGCGGGUGAAAAGCCCGCUCGCCGGAAGACCAAGGGUUCCUGUCCAACGUUAAUCGGGGCAGGGUGAGUCGACCCCUAAGGCGAGGCCGAAAGGCGUAGUCGAUGGGAAACAGGUUAAUAUUCCUGUACUUGGUGUUACUGCGAAGGGGGGACGGAGAAGGCUAUGUUGGCCGGGCGACGGUUGUCCCGGUUUAAGCGUGUAGGUGUGUGUUCCAGGUAAAUCCGGUUCACUUUAACACUGAGGCGUGAUGACGAGGCACUACGGUGCUGAAGCAACAAAUGCCCUGCUUCCAGGAAAAGCCUCUAAGCAUCAGGUAACAUCAAAUCGUACCCCAAACCGACACAGGUGGUCAGGUAGAGAAUACCAAGGCGCUUGAGAGAACUCGGGUGAAGGAACUAGGCAAAAUGGUGCCGUAACUUCGGGAGAAGGCACGCUGACACGUAGGUGAAGUGAUUUACUCAUGGAGCUGAAGUCAGUCGAAGAUACCAGCUGGCUGCAACUGUUUAUUAAAAACACAGCACUGUGCAAACACGAAAGUGGACGUAUACGGUGUGACGCCUGCCCGGUGCCGGAAGGUUAAUUGAUGGGGUCAGCGCAAGCGAAGCUCCUGAUCGAAGCCCCGGUAAACGGCGGCCGUAACUAUAACGGUCCUAAGGUAGCGAAAUUCCUUGUCGGGUAAGUUCCGACCUGCACGAAUGGCGUAAUGAUGGCCAGGCUGUCUCCACCCGAGACUCAGUGAAAUUGAACUCGCUGUGAAGAUGCAGUGUACCCGCGGCAAGACGGAAAGACCCCGUGAACCUUUACUAUAGCUUGACACUGAACAUUGAGCCUUGAUGUGUAGGAUAGGUGGGAGGCUUUGAAG
rnacentral:rRNA from 1 species